UGAGGAAUAUUGGUCAAUGGGCGAGAGCCUGAACCAGCCAAGUAGCGUGCAGGAUGACGGCCCUAUGGGUUGUAAACUGCUUUUAUGUGGGGACAAAGUGCGUGACGUGUCAUGCAUUGCAGGUACCACAUGAAUAAGGACCGGCUAAUUCCGUGCCAGCAGCCGCGGUAAUACGGAAGGUCCGGGCGUUAUCCGGAUUUAUUGGGUUUAAAGGGAGCGUAGGCUGUCUAUUAAGCGUGUUGUGAAAUUUACCGGCUCAACCGGUGGCUUGCAGCGCGAACUGGUCGACUUGAGUAUGCAGGAAGUAGGCGGAAUUCAUGGUGUAGCGGUGAAAUGCUUAGAUAUCAUGACGAACUCCGAUUGCGCAGGCAGCUUACUGUAGCAUAACUGACGCUGAUGCUCGAAAGUGCGGGUAUCAAACAGG
rnacentral:rRNA from 1 species